rnacentral:lncRNA from 10 species
GCAGAUUGAACAUUGUAGAGGGGGAAGAGAGGCAGGAAGGGCAUUAAAGCCGCAAAAGCAAAGAAGAAAAAAAAAACUUCCCAUGUUUGGAUCUUGUUCUAGUUAGAAAAAUUAAGUUGAAAUUAUUGGACUUUUUCAUUCAUGAGGCAAAUGCUGUAAUACCUUGCCCUUUGACAGGCUAUGCAGGAAGAACAAAGGUUAGAGGAAAAUGAAACACAUUAUUAUUGCUGGGAGCAAACAGAAGACACACUAUGAAGAAGAGAUGGAGUUUGAGCAUCCUGGCAAAUCCAGACUGA